rnacentral:lncRNA from 10 species
GGCUCACGCCUGUAAUCUCAGCACUUUGGGAGGCCAAGGGCGGGUGGAUCACGAGGUCAGAUCGACACUCAUCCCGGCUAACACAGUGAAACCCUGUCUCUACUAAAAAUACAAAAAAAUUAGCUGGGCGUGGUGGUGGGCGCCUGUAGUCCGAGCUACUUGGGAGGCUGAGGCAGGAGAAUGGUGUGAACCCAGGAGGCGGAGCUUGCACUGAGCUGAGAUCGUGCCACUGCAGUCCAGCCUGGGCGACAGAGCGAGACUCCUUCUCAAAAAAACAAAGAAACAAAAAAAAAGGUGAAGCUAGAUACUUAUCCAGGGUUUGUGAAGACAAUCACCAUUCACAAAUGCUGAGUGUAACCUUAACUUACCCAUUAUCUACUGGCAUCUUGCUGGAACACUGCAGAACCUAUCCUCUUUGGGGGCAAAUAAUUUGUGUUCAAUCGGAGCUACAAAAAGACUCAAGAUAUAUGAUUUAUAUUUAUAUGAUAUAAAUAUUCCUAUCAAAGCUCAAGAAAAGAGCUCUGUUUAAAAAAAUACAUUAGAACUACUAUAUAACAGUGUACCCAACCUGGCUGUUUUCUUUUUUAAAACAAAUUUUAUUUUAUUUUAGAUUCUUUAUUUUAUUUUAGAUUUAAGGGAUACACAUGCAGGUUUGUUAAAUGAGCACAUUGCAUGAUGCUGAUGUUUGGGCUUCUACUGAUGCUGUCACCUCAACAGUGAACAUAGUACCAAGUGUGUGGACAAAACUGCCAUCUCCUCACCUCAUACGGGAAAACAGAGAGGCCUGCAGUUCUGUGGGAAGACUUCAAAACAGCUCUCAAAAAGUAAAAUUGUAUCACCAGAGAAACUGGGUUAUGUAAUGGUGCAUACCACACUUCUGUUUUCCUGAGGAAGUUAGCACUUCUUAUUGAGAAGGCUGCGGCCUGAUCAUGCUGUUAUUACCACUAAAAAACAAAAAUCUGUGAGGCCCCCAGAGGCUGCCCAGCACUAUGUAACAGGGAAAAGAGAGGCAGGCCUGGGUGCAGGGUGGUCGCAUCCAUGAUCCAGCCUGACCCCCAUCACCAGCCGGCAGGGAGACAGACUCACACUGAAGAUAAAGCAGAGCUGCUGUACUGGCUGGACUUGAGGUGGUUUAAGUUGGCAGCUACAUCGAAGGACUUCUGAAAAGCUCAAGUGACAGUUACACCUUUGCACUCUCCACAUUCAGCUGGCCUUUUCCCUCAAAACAUGGAUAAUCUUCAAACCUCCCUGAACAGGUGGAAAUGCGUCUUUCCUCUAAGCCAAGUUCUCAGUCCACAUUAGUCCAUACUUGGCUACAGAAUUGACGUUUGUGGCCACAAUCCUACUAGAAAUGACCUUUGGGUAAUAUCCUUAUCUUGUUGAUCUAGUUAGGGUCAAGUAAAACGAAAUAGGUUUUCAAUCAAAUACUAAGAAGCUCACAAAAUGGAAUUUAGGUGAAAACACACCAAAGUAGUAUUAAAGUUCAAAUUCCAAAAGAAAUACUUGCAUUAAAAAAGAAAAGCCAUGCAUGGUGGCUCGCUAUGCCUGUAGUCCCAACAAUUCGAGGUGGGAGGAUUGCCUGAGCCUGGGAGGUCGAGGCUGCAGUGAGCUGAGAUUGUGACACUGUACUCCAGCCUGGGGGACAGGGUGAGACCCUCGCUCAAAAAAUAAAAUAAAAUAAAAUAAAUAAAUAAAAAAUAGAAAGAAAGAAAGCAAACCACACACACACAUACAACAAAAAAAGAUCACUUUAAAUCUUUAAACUAUUCCUUUCAAAACAAUGUGACAGAAACAUCAUCAGGUUACUAGAGAUUUCACAAAUAAUGCAUAAUAAAGAGCUUUCUCAGAAACAGAGUACUACCACCUAAUGAAAAAAUAAAACCUAUCCAAAACCAAGAAUCUUCAGUAAAUAAAAUGCUUUUAGCAUUAAAAACUAAUAAGAUAGCUUUAAAAACCAUGUUUUUAAAAAUUGCAACAAAUACUUCUUACUUUUAACUGUCUUUUUUAACAGAGCAAAGCAAUGGAAUAUUGUGCAUCCCACACAGUGACAUUGUGUGAUUUUGGGUAGGAACACAUUUGAACCCUAACCAACCUUGGCAGGAGGAGAGGGUGAGGGAGUCAUUUGACCUGGGGUCAUGCUGGUAACCGGGACAUAGAGACUUCCUCUUUCCCUCUGAGCUCACAGGCCCUUCCCAUUUCCACACUGGCUCGGAUCCUUCAGCAGCCUUUCCUGCUGCUGACAACCAAAUGGAGAAAAUAAAUGAAUUUUAAAACAGUUAUUUUCUUCACAGAUUUAGGGAAAGACACCAUGGGAGGGAAAACACAUGUGGGUAAAUACAAAAUACAGUUACAUAUUUAUUGUGGAUGCUGCAGAAACCCCAGAGUCAAAGCACAUGCUCCAUUGGGAAGAGUGGCGCACAGGAGGAGAGGCUGACCCCUUCAGUAUCACAGUUCUUUUUCUCCUGCUCAUUCAUGUUUCUUUUUUUCUUUUCUUUUUUUUUUUUUUUUGAGACAGACUCUCGCUCUUGUCGCCCAAGCUGCCAGGCUGGAGUACAGUGGCACGAUCUCGGCUCACUGCAAUCUCUGUCUCUCAGGUUCAAGCGAUUCUCCUGCCUCAGCCUUCCCAGUAGCUGGGAUUACAGGCACCUGCCACCAUGCAUGGCUAAUUUUUGUAUUUUU